CAGUGUAUCAUAAUGUAUGAAGAUAAUCAAGGUGUAAAUCUCUAUUGUAGAGAUCUAUGAAAACAACAUCAAAUUAACUGAUUACUCUAUUCCCUUUAAAAUAUGUUUAAUUUAUCAUUGAAGUUUAGUUCUCAAAAAAUAUCAAAGAAUUGUGUAUGAAUAUAACUAAUCAUGAUUCUUUAUAAAGUAAUUACCAUUAUAAAGAUUCCUGUUAAAAUAAAAUGUUAACACUUCUUCUCUACUACUCUAAUCUUCUCUCUCUCCUACUCCUUUUAUUCCCACCAUCUCUCUCUCGACUUAGGGGCUAGCCCCCUCUUUCCUAUCCCCAAUAUCAAUAGUUACAGAAUCUCUGAAGAUCUGAAGAUUGAGGUUGCUCCUGAUAGGAACUCUAACAAUUAAAAUUUCUAUUCGUUCCAUGUAGAGGUAAAAGUAGAGCAACAAAAUUGUGGAAGAGGAAGAAGAUUAUGGAAUAGAGUGGAGAAGAAAGUAUUAUUUUUAUCAUACUUUGUUUGUUUUUUUGUUUUAUGAUGAAUUAUGAAACAAAGAGGAAGAAGAUUAUGGAGCCUUUAACUACAUAAUGCAUAUUAGCAGUUAAUCAUGGGAUUUUCCCACUAAAUAAUGGUUUGUGCUUUUCAAAAAAUACAGUUUUGAUAUUGGAGAAGUUACUGAUGUGAA